rnacentral:rRNA from 1 species
AACGAACGCUGGCGGCAGGCCUAACACAUGCAAGUCGAGCGAGGACUUCGGUUCUAGCGGCGGACGGGUGAGUAACGCGUGGGAAUGUGCCCUUCUCUACGGAAUAGCCCUGGGAAACUGGGAGUAAUACCGUAUACGCCCUAUUGGGGAAAGAUUUAUCGGAGAAGGAUCAGCCCGCGUUGGAUUAGGUAGUUGGUGGGGUAAUGGCCUACCAAGCCGACGAUCCAUAGCUGGUUUGAGAGGAUGAUCAGCCACACUGGGACUGAGACACGGCCCAGACUCCUACGGGAGGCAGCAGUGGGGAAUCUUAGACAAUGGGGGCAAUCCUGAUCGAGCCAUGCCGCGUGAGUGAUGAAGGCCUUAGGGUUGUAAAGCUCUUUCAGCUGGGAAGAUAAUGACGGUACCAGCAGAAGAAGCCCCGGCUAACUCCGUG